rnacentral:rRNA from 1 species
UGGCGGUGCUUUAGACUUCUCAGGGGAACUUGUUUCAUAAUCGAUAGUCCACGAUAUACCUGACCUUUUUUAGUUUAGCAGUAUGUAUACCGUCGUCGUCAGGUAACUUUUAAAAACAAAGAAGUUGGCAAGAAAAACUUAAUAAUUUUGGACGUCAGAUCAAGGUGCAACCAAUAAAAAGGGGAGAAUGAGUUACAAUUAAAAUUUAUAUUAAUGGAAAAAAGCUUGAUAUAGUUUUCUCGAAAGCGGACUUGAAAGUAAAAAUUGUUAUACAAAUUUUUUGAAUCUAGCUCUGAAGCGUGC